rnacentral:lncRNA from 1 species
AAGGCUAUACUAUUAGGUACCGUUUGGUUCGGGUAUAAGCAAGAACUAGUUAUUACAGGAAUAGGUAUAAGUAUGAGGAUAAGAAAAAUAGUGUUUGGAUGAAAAUUAGAUUGUUCUCAGAGAUAAGAACAAUUUUAGAUAGUUUUAUAUAGAAAAUGAAGGUGUUGGUGGGGAUAAUCAAGAACUAUUAUUCUCGGAUAAAAAAUUAGCGUUUAGGUAUAAAGGCGGGAUAAGAGCCUAUUCCUAUCCCUAUCCCUAACCAAACGCUGCCUUAAGAACUU